rnacentral:lncRNA from 1 species
AGAGCUGUCCCUCUCUCGGCUUGCACUAAGGAGGAGGUCACGUGAGCACACAGUGAGAAGGCGGAGGACCAUCUGCAAGCAGGAAGAGAGCCCUCGCUAGAACCCCCCACGGUGGCAUCUGAUAGUGGACUUCUAGCUUCCAGAACUAUUCUUCUUGGACAUCAGCUGACUUAACCAUUGAGGAAAUAAAUGAACAUCUAUUGAGCACCUGUUAUGUGCUGAUGCUUGCUCACUACUUGUUUCAUUUGGCUUUACUGGAUUCUUAUGACAAUUCUUUAAAAUGUGUGUAAUCAUUAAUAUUACCUUCAUUGCAGAACUAAGAAAACUGACUCAGAAUGAGAACUCAUAAAUGUCACAUCAGGCUGCCUCUUGGUGAAUUUUUAAUCAACGGGGAGAAUUUCAGCUACAAAUAGACCAAGAAUCAAGAGGCCCACUAUUGAUCGGUCAAAGUGGCACUUAUGAACCUGAGGUUGAAGCAGUUUGGAUAAAAGGAUUCUGGGCUUUCGAUGGCCCCAGAGACAUCUUUUUCCAUCAAGUCCAGGAGAGGAGAGCCUGACGUUUCAAGAACUCAAGGUUCAGUACUAGGUCUUAGAGGAAGACUUCAUUUUAGCUUUGAUGCUCUCCGCUAGGCACAGAGAAACUUAAGCAGAAUGACAAGACCUGCUGUUUGAGUAACUCACGUUCUGACCAGAGAGACAGACAUGUCAGCAAGAGGUUACAAUACAGUGUGCUCAGAUUCUCCGGGACUUGGAGCACUUGUUCCAGAAAGGAAGGCCAGGGAAGUCUUCCAGGAGUAGAUGGCGCCUCUGCUGACCUGAAGGGUGAGGAAAAAGUGUCCAGUUGCAGAAGGUGCAACUGCCUAUAGAACAGCUGCCGCGGCCCACUGAAAGCUUCAAGCCGAGACCUGAGGUGCAUGAACCCUCCUUCUGAUAAGCUUCAGAGCAGAAAUGAUGCAACUGAGUCACAGAGAAGUUAAGUAAUCUGCCUGCCGACACUCGGGUCGAUGCCGCCUCAUUCCAUCACUCGGGCAAUGGAGCCAAAGGCCACGUUCACAACCACUAGGCUGUCCCAGCCCCUUGGUAUGAUUUGUCCCUUCCUAAGCUUCAAAGAUAGCCAGGCAGGAGUUAUUUUAUAGAAUGGAAGUAAUUUCUACGGGGCCAAGCAAUAAUAAGGAAAUUGGAAGUCAAGGACUAUCUUCCGAAUGGAGAAGAAGCUCCAUCAACCACAGAAGGAAAUUAUGAUCACUCCUGCCAUCCUGCUCCUUUGUGUAUCCAGGAUGAAGGGGAGAAUUGGAGUCUUGCACAAUGAAAGGACAACAUUGCUGCCAAAACAAUCCAUCGUGACUGUAGACAUAUUUUCCACCCUCAUCCUGCAGGUUUUCUGCCAGUUGUUGGCCCCUCACCAAUUUUGCUCCUGGGCAGUCUGAGGUGGAACAUAAUUUUGUAUAAAACAAAUUAUGCUCAACCUCACUUAUAAUCAGGGAAAUGUGAGUCAAAACCACAAUAAAAUAUCACCUCA